rnacentral:tRNA from 1 species
GUGCCUGUAGCCUAGUUGGUAAAGGCAGCACUCUAGUAUGUGUCUCAGCAUAUAGCUGAGGUUGUGAGUUCGACUCUCACCAGAAACA